UCUAAAAUUUUCUACCAAAGGCGCGAAAAAAAAAAGUUUUCUUUUCUCUCUCUCACAAAAAAUCAGUAAAGACCUAAACCGAGCAAAAAUCCCAAAUUGCACCCGGUCUUCUCUCUCGCUCAAAUCCCAAAUUUCAGCCGCUGGUCACUCAAAUCCCAAACUUCAGCCACCAGAUUCCGAUCUCCACUACUUACACAACUCUAUUUUACUACUGAUUUUGUGCUUCUGUUGUUCUGAUCUUGGCCUAUAAGUAGUAGCAGCUAAAAAGAAUUCUUGUUUAUCACCCCGUAAACUUCAGGAAGGUGCUAUAGCAAAAGGACGAGGGCAAGGGCUUAGGCUUAAGUACGCUUUAGGGGUGUCUGAAAAUGAGGUGGGAUCCUUCCGUAAGAGUGCUCUUUAUUCUAGCAUGUCUACUGCAAAAGGUCUGGGAACGACAAAUAAAAACUCCUUGGUUCUUGAGAAAGAGCAUAUGCAAACUAAUGCUCUGUUUUCUUCAUCUGCUAAGCAAGUUGUGCAAUCCACCCAAACAUCUGAACCAAAUAUGGUUUCUCAAAUCUAUUAUGUUAUUUAUUUGUACAACUGAAUUUUAAUGUUGAAGUUUUUAUUAAUAUAAUUUUCUUGUACCAGGUUACAUAAUGAAGGAAAAGGAUUGAGGGCAUAGAUCUAUGGGCUAUUUUGGAUUUUCUAGAAAUGAAGGGGGAUCUUCUCAUAAGAGUGCUCUUUAUGCUAGUCAAAAUAUUCCACUACCACCUUCUAAUAGUAAAAGAUUAUAUUCUACCAUGUCUACUACAAAAUGAAUGCGAGCGACGAAUAUAAGACCUCUAGUUCUGGAGAAA